ACCGCCCCCCUGGACGGCGUCAUCCUGGUGGUGGCGGCCACCGACGGGCAGAUGCCGCAGACCCGCGAGCACCUCCUGCUGGCACGGCAGGUGAGCACAGGUAAAGGGACAGGUGGGACAGGUGAGACAGGUAAAGGGACAGGUGGGACAUGGACAGGUGGGACAGGUGAGACAGGU
rnacentral:lncRNA from 1 species